UGGGGAAUAUUGCACAAUGGGCGCAAGCCUGAUGCAGCCAUGCCGCGUAUAUGAAGAAGGCCUUCGGGUUGUAAAGUACUUUCAGCGGGGAGGAAGGCGAUGCGGUUAAUAACCGCGUCGAUUGACGUUACCCGCAGAAGAAGCACCGGCUAACUCCGUGCCAGCAGCCGCGGUAAUACGGAGGGUGCAAGCGUUAAUCGGAAUUACUGGGCGUAAAGCGCACGCAGGCGGUCUGUCAAGUCGGAUGUGAAAUCCCCGGGCUCAACCUGGGAACUGCAUCCGAAACUGGCAGGCUUGAGUCUCGUAGAGGGGGGUAGAAUUCCAGGUGUAGCGGUGAAAUGCGUAGAGAUCUGGAGGAAUACCGGUGGCGAAGGCGGCCCCCUGGACGAAGACUGACGCUCAGGUGCGAAAGCGUGGGGAGCAAACA
rnacentral:rRNA from 1 species